UACGUAGGGGGCAAGCGUUGUCCGGAAUUAUUGGGCGUAAAGCGCGCGCAGGCGGUAUGUUAAGUCAGAUGUGAAAGGCUACGGCUCAACCGUAGAGUGGCAUUUGAAACUGGCACACUUGAGUGCAGGAGAGGUGAGUGGAAUUCCCGGUGUAGCGGUGGAAUGCGUAGAGAUCGGGAGGAACACCAGUGGCGAAGGCGACUCUCUGGCCUGCAACUGACGCUGAGGCGCGAAAGCGUGGGGAGCGAACAGG
rnacentral:rRNA from 1 species